rnacentral:sRNA from 1 species
AUUGUCUCCGAGUCGGCCAGCUGGAGCGUUUUCGGGGCCGUAAAGGGAGAGUGGCGCAUGCGCAUAUUCGGGGCGGAAGGCGCGCUAAGAGCAGGUCCUGACCAGCUCUAAAGAUGGGUCAGCUGCUGUAUUUCCAAGAACCCCAUGACUUCCAGGGCCCCUUGUUCCCAGGAGGGCCCCACACCCCAGUCGUCCUGUGCAUAACCUCACGGGCCAGCACCUGGUAGCUGCUGGAAGGCUUCUGGGGGAUGCCUGGGCCCCUCCAGCCCUACCUCUAGUCCUGCCACUUUACAACUGAGCACCUCCCGCUGCUGCCUGCUGAGCCCUUCAGAGUCCUUGCCACAGGCCCUGUUGACUUUUUCCUGAGAAGAUUUAUGGUCUGCAUUAUGUCUGGAGCCAGAAGUAAGCUUGCUCUUUUCCUCUGCGGCUGUUACGUGGUUGCCCUGGGAGCCCACACCGGGGAGGAGAGCGUGGCUGAACAUCACGAGGCUGAAUAUUAUGUGGCUGCCGUGUAUGAGCAUCCAUCCAUCUUGAGUCUGAACCCUCUGGCUCUCAUCAGCC